CUUUUUCUCAUCAUGAACUUUUACCAGCUUUUUGUGUUACAGCUGCUUCGUUUGUGGACCAAAGAGAGGAAAGACUGUUGAUUUGACUACUGAUCCAAGAACACUAUUGAACGUAAACAUGUGAAAAUUAUUUUUCUCGUUGUAGUUCUUAGACAAAAGAGUCGCUCUAACAGACAUAUGGUAUAAUUUUUGCAAAGUAAGGCCAUCCAUAUUCGCCGUCGGAAUCAGAAAUACGGUCGUUGUUGGAUGAUUUGCAUACAAGUCGAGCUAGCGCAUGUCAUUCUAAAGCAUAAAGUAAAUACCGUUAUAAUAUUCGAUCAAGUGCUCAAAUUGGACUAACUCAACGAUCGUUGAGCUG
rnacentral:lncRNA from 1 species